UACGGAGGGUGCAAGCGUUAUCCGGAUUCACUGGGUUUAAAGGGUGCGUAGGCGGGCAUGUAAGUCAGUGGUGAAAUCUCCGGGCUUAACCCGGAAACUGCCGUUGAUACUAUGUGUCUUGAAUAUCGUUGAGGUUUGCGGAAUAUGUCAUGUAGCGGUGAAAUGCUUAGAUACGACAUAGAACACCAAUUGCGAAGGCAGCAGGCUAACCGAACAUUGACGCUGAGGCACGAAAGCGUGGGGAUCAAACAGG
rnacentral:rRNA from 1 species